rnacentral:lncRNA from 1 species
GAAUGUUAUCUAUGUGAUUGAAUCGAUGAAUCUUGUUAACGUGAUCGAUCAUGAUGCAGGAGUCAAUCGCUAAAGAGGUUAACGAAAACCCAGGGGCAGGAUGGAAGGCUGCUAUUAAUCCUCGCUUCUCCAAUUCUACGGUUUGACUUCAACUUUCUCCAAUUUUAGUCUCUGAUGUAGAUAAUUUUGUUUUAAAUUCUUUAUUUUUGUUUUAAUCCACCGAUAAUAUGUUAAUAUUGGUUUAGUCUCCACGGAGACUGUGCAAAAUUCUUUUUUUAAUUCUUAUAUAUAUAUAUAUAUAUAUAUUCAUUAAAUCUAAAAAAUCAGCUCAAGUUAAGUAUAUAUUAAUUUUUAAAAAAGUUCAUGAAAACAAAAAAUAAUAAAGAUCAAACCUAGUAUAAAAAUGACUUAAUUACAGUUUAUUCCCAAAUUAUUCUCUAUUUUAAAUUAAAAUUUAAACAAUACUUUUGUAUUUAAAAUUAAUCAUUGUUUCUAUUUUUUAAAUGAUAAUUUUUUUUGUAAAACAUGAUAAAUCAUCGAAUAUAAACCCAUGGUAGAACUUUAUGCAUAAAAAUAUUAGUUAAAACACAAACAUUUCAUCAAUUUCUAUAAAAAAUGUGAGAGGAGAGCCAAAACUGUUUAAAUUUGAGGACUAAUUUUGUGAAUCAAUUAAAAUUGGGAGACCAAAACUAUAGUUUAGCCUAUUAAAAAAACCAAAACAAAAAAAAAAGGUUUUAGUUUUAGGAUUAUUUGAAUUGACUUAUUUAAAUUUAUUCAAUAGAUAAAGCUUAUACAAACAACUUACACAUUGUUUAUAAGUUGUUGUUUCCGUUUAUUUUCAUGAGCUCUUAAAGAUAGUGUAUGAAAAUAAAUUAUAGGGGGUAAAAACAAUUUGACUUUAUUUUAUAUUUGUUACAGAAAUGAUUUAUGAGAAACGAUUAAGACUUAAAAAUCAAAUACAAAACUUAAUAGGAAAAAAGAUUAAUAUUUAAGUCUUCAUUUUGUUUUUUUAGCUUACUAUAUUUAAUUAAGUUUUCACUAAAUUAUAGUACUUUAGAGUGCAUUUCAUUUGCACAUACUUAGUUGCAUGACAUGUAUGUUUUGACUAUGAAAGGUACUGUGUUUGAUGCACAGGUUGGACAAUUUAAGCGCCUUCUUGGAGUCAAACAAACGCCUAGGAAUGAACUCAGUAGUAUACCUGUCGUAACUCAUCCAAAAUCAUUAAACUUGCCAAAGGAAUUUGAUGCAAGGACAGCUUGGCCUCAAUGUAGCACUAUUGGAAGAAUUCUAGGUAACCUACUUGCUCCUUCUCCUUACUUUUUAAAGUAUUAAUUAUAUAAUGCGUUUUCGCAGUAGGUGCUGACUCUUCUUUUUCAUUAUUGAUAAUAACAUUGAUUGCCGAACCAAUUUCCUCACUAAAGAUCAGGUAAUUCUCUAAUUAUUUCUUCAUUUUAGCGACUUUUUGUAUGUUUAGGGUUCAAUGUGGUUCUUUGACCAUUAAGUUCUUAUCUGAUCCUUGUGUUGAUUAUGAUUCAGGGUCACUGUGGUUCUUGUUGGGCAUUUGGCGCUGUUGAAUCAUUAUCAGACCGUUUUUGCAUUCAUUUUGGCGUGGUAAGUAAACUUCUUGCUUUAGUAAGUAGGGAACUUUUUCUUACAAAAAUAUGUUAGGAUUGACUUAUUUGAACUUAUCUACUAACAUAAGCACUUGUGAAACUGUUUGAGAGAAUUUAUGAAAAUAAUUUAUGACAUGUCCACUAGUUCUCCAUGAUAGCUUAUGAAAAAAACUUAAAGAUUAUAUGAAAACAAUUUCAUUUCUUUUGUUAUAGAAAUUACUUAUGUGUGUAAUUAUGUGUAAUUGUGAAUAUUUACCCAAAAUUUCUAGACCUAUCUCCCUAUGCACACACACCUACUCGAGGGACUUGACCUAUAGAAAAAACUAUAUGUUCAAUUGCAGGAUGUGCCCCUUUCUGUUAAUGACCUUCUUGCAUGUUGUGGAUUUCUUUGUGGGUCUGGCUGUGAUGGUGGGUAUCCCAUUUCUGCAUGGAAAUACUUUGCACACCAUGGUGUUGUCACUGAAGAGGUAACAACUUUUCAUUCCCUUCAGUGCUUAGAGACUAAAAUCUUAGACUCUUUCUUAUGUUCUGUAUUUUUAUUUAUUUUUUACAUGUGACAGUGUGACCCAUACUUUGAUCAAAUUGGAUGUUCUCAUCCUGGUUGUGAGCCAGGAUAUCAAACUCCCAAGUGCGUUAGAAAGUGUGUAAAGGGAAACCAGGUUUGGAAAAAGUCAAAACACUACAGUGUCAAACCAUAUAAGGUCAACUCUGAUCCCCAAAAUAUCAUGGAAGAAGUUUAUAAGAACGGGCCGGUUGAAGUUGCAUUCAGUGUUUAUGAGGUAAAUGAAAGCUUUUGACAUCUUUUUGUCGCUUCUGCAAGUAAGAUUUUGAAAGCACAUCACCAUCCUAGGCUAGUAUGCCAAGAAUUAAGAAAUGACAAGCUGCAAGCAUGAGUUGAUGUGUUCUUCCACUUUUGCUUCAUUUCUUUGGUAAAAUUGUGAGCGAUACUUGCUAAGGCCCCAUUUACUUACCAUGUUUUUCUGUUUUCAUUUUCACUACAACAAAUAAACAUUAGAGAAUAUAGAUCCAACACUUUCCUCAGCAUUUUCUUUUACAAUUUUUGAAAAUGUCAAAACAUUGUUUUUGUUGUUUCUAAAAAUGCAUUCUUCCUAGAUUCCCUUCCACCUUCUCUCCAUCAGAAUUGUUCACUACUCGAGUCUUCCAUUCCCUUGUUAGUCUUCCAUUCCCCAUGAACAUAUAUUUUAAGAAAUGAGUAUUGAAAAUGUUUCCACAAAGGAAACGGGACCUAAGUUUCCACCUUGUCACUUCAACUUCUUCUCGUUCCUUCUGUGCCAUGUUAUCCUAUAAGCUUUAUAUCUCCUUAACACAUUAGAUUUGUGCUGUAUUAAAUUCCUUUCAUUACUUUAUCUUUUCAAAAUUUUCCCAUUGUUUUCGUCACUCAUUUCAUUUUAAAUAAGGGGUCAAUUGACAUCUCUUGUGCUUUGAAGAUGCAAAUUGAUUAAAGAAUAGGAUAGAAGAUACAACUUUUAAGUUAAAAACUAGUAAUAUGAACCAGACCUUAUUGCAUAUCUUUGACUCCUUUGAUCUCUUGACAGGAUUUUGCUCACUACAAAUCAGGAGUUUACAAACACAUCACAGGUUCUGCACUAGGCGGUCACGCAGUAAAGCUGAUUGGGUGGGGAACAAGUGAUGAAGGGGAGGACUAUUGGGUAUGCUGAUAAUAUAUUAACUUGUUCCUGGUUUUUUGACAACAACAUUCUCAUAUACAUACCUUUAUUCAAAAUUUUAUAUAUACUGAUUGUGUAUUUUUCACAGCUUCUUGCAAAUCAGUGGAAUACAAAUUGGGGAGAUGUAUGUUUCUUGAAAUAUUCUUCAGCUUGAAUAGUUGUUAUUUAAGAUGUUUGCUAAUGAACCAAUUUAAUCUACUAAACUGCAGGAUGGUUACUUCAAGAUCAGGAGAGGGACAAAUGAAUGUGGGAUUGAAGAGGAUGUUACAGCCGGUUUGCCUUCUUCCAAAAAUAUUAUAAGAGAGGUGUCCGACACGGAUGUUGACGCUGACGUUUCCUUCUGAAUGUGAAUAUAGUAUUACUUUAACAGUUAGAUUUUAUGUUGGUAUUGAAAAUCUGCACCAAAUGUUGUCUGUUAUAUUUAUGUAUAUUUUAAGGGAAACGAUCUUAAUUAUGACUAUGAUGUAGGGAGACAGUAAGCUUUUGUGGUUUAUACAAUGAGAUCACAUCAAUUAAGAGGCUAACUGCCAUAUUUAUAGUACAGUCUUCUUGCAAUGCAUUGUUAGUUGAAUUUGCUGUGAAGCUUGUGGGAUCAGACUGAGCGGGAAUAGAGGAACUUGUUAAAACCGUUUAGCUGAAUUGUUCAUGUUGAAAAACUCUGCUUUUAAAAUAAAAACAAAGACGUUCAUUCUUCUAUGUUUCUUCUCCUGUUCUCCUUGUGCGUCUAUCUUCCUCUGAUGACAACACAUAGUGCAACACGCACCAUUCCUCCUUUUUUGUUUCCCUUUGUUUUGCAUGGUCCCUCUGCUUCAGUAAGAGUAACUAAAUAUUUGUUGCUAUCUUCUUUGUUAUUUUGUAUGUGUUAUUGUUGUGUAAAUGACUUAAAUAGGCUCCUCUCAUAGUGAAGUUCGAAUCCGUGGCGCAUUAAUACAUGUCGUCAUCAAUAGAGUUCUUAAAAACGCCUCUAAAAAUAGAUUUGUUCUGAUCAAUGUUUUAAAAAUUGGAUCGGAUUACUGGUUCAUUGGUCAACCACUGGGUUACUGGUCAAAUUACAUAAUUAAAUUGGAUAAUUUGGUUGAAUAAACCAAUUUUUAUUAUAAACUAUAUAGUUAUGAAACCGGUCGAACUAAAUAACUCUACGUACCUACAAAAUUUCAAAAUAUCACAAUUUUACAAAUUUAUUUUUUAAAUUUAAAUUUUAAAGAUAGGUAUCACACUCAACAAAAUAAUACAAAACUAAAUAAAUUUAGAAUAAAGUUUAAUUGCACGAAUAACAAAAUAAUUGUAGUGGUUAAUAAAUUAAAUUUAAGGAGAGAAAAUUGUUUAAAUUCUUCUUAUAUUAUAACUUUAUUUCUUAAAACAUUUAUCAAAACGACAUUGUUUUGUCUUAAGAAAAAAAUAAACAUUUAAUUCGUCAGUUUUCUAAAACUGUCGGUUCGUUGGUUUUUAUCGGUUCUGGUUGAUUCCUACUGAUUUAAUAAUUUAUCCGGUUCAACAAUCAGAUCAGAUCUGAUUCCCAGUUUGACUGGUCAGUUCGAUCUGGUUUUUAAAACACCAAUCUUAAUAUAGAAGCAUUGUUUAUGUGGUUUGAGCUUCCAUUGCUCUGCGGUUUGUGAAAGCUCAAGAAGAUGGAGUGAAAAUAUUGUAUGGAAGAAUUUAGUGGAAGAGUUUAUAAACUAAAAUAUCCUUUGAUCGGAACUCGUAAGAACUUAACUUGUAAAGUUAUCUCCAAUGAUAUUAAGAAAGAAAUAAUUAUUGCUGUUGUGGAAGGGAAAGCUAGUCCAUCCCUUUUAAAAUAAAUGGUUCCUUAAGAUUGUGUUAGAAGAGUAACAUGAAUACAGACUAGAGUAGAGAGAAAUAUACAAAAGCUUUGUACAUGCAAUUCGACUAAAUUACCUACAAUGUGAUUAUAGAGUAGUUAUAGUUCCUUUGAUUUAUGUCUUGUGAAUUGAUUAGAUUAUAGUGUUACAAGUCAUAUAUAUAAUAUCAUGAUUUAAUUUAUCUAAAACUUUAAUCCAUAGUUUUCCUCAACAAACACUUAUCUGUAUCCAUAAUUAUCUCAUCAAUAUGAAUUAUACUCUCAACAUCUUAUAGUUAUCUAAGCAACUCAUAAUUAUAUCAAUAAUAUGAGCCAUAUUCAACAAUCUUCAGCUUGACACCUCUUGCUUAAAAUUGAGAACAUGUAACAAGUCCAAGCAAUGUUUGAACUUGUCAUUGGUGACUGCCUUAGUCAACACAUCAAUUGCAUUCUCUGAAGUGUGAAUCUUCUGAAGUAAUAUCUGUCUAGACGCCAACAACUCACUGAUCUUGUGAAACCUCACAUAAACAUGCUUGGUCCUAGCACGAUACACCUGAUUGUUUUCCAAAUAGAUAACACUUUGACAAUUACAAUGCAAAUGAACUCCACAUUACUUAACACCCAACUCUUUCACUAAUCCUGUAAGCCACAAUAUUUUUUGGCAGCUGCACUUACUGCCAUGUAUGUUGUCUCAUUUGUAGACAUAGCGACUAUAGAUUGAAUUACUGAUUUCUAACAUAUAGGUCCAUCUGCAAGAGUAAAGACAUACAUUGUUGUAGAUCUUCUAUCAUCUAGAUCAUCUGCAUAAUCAAAAUCCACAUAUCCCACAACUUAUGGAACACCCUGUUACAUGGAGAACAUGAUACCACGAUCCGUUGUACCCUUCAAGUACCUUAGGAUCCACUUUACUACUUCUCAAUGUUGCUUCCCUGGCUUUAAGAGAGUUACAAACUUGUGUUAGUUGUGGAAGUGUUAUAUGAGUCUCUCAUAUAAUAUUCUCAUAAUUAACACACGUUUUCUACUAUCCCUUCUACUUUAUCCUCUUCAUAGUUUCCAGAAACGUUUAGCUAUCAAGUCCUUCCAAUCUAUGUUAGUUAAUUGAUGUUUUUGUUAAUAACUGUUAUUAGUGAGUUUGUUAUAUCAUAUGUGAUUGCUUGUUUCACUAACCCCUCAUUGAACUUACAUUCAUUUAAAUAUAUUUUUGAGAUGAUAAUUUAAAAAGUUAAAUUAUUACUGAAAAUCAACUUAGAUGAUCCAAUAUUUUCGAAUUGCAUGUAUUUUGUAAUUUAUGAGUUCCUCUCUAGCCUAUAGAAUUUGAUCCAAUGUCACAAAUUCUUCAAAAUAAUGAUAAUAAAUGGAUGACAUUCAUCAUCAUUACUUUGAAGAAUUUGGGAUUGAAUCAAAUUAUAUGGGUUAAUGAGGAAAUCAUGAAUUAUAAGAUGCAUGCAAUUCGAAAAAUAUUAUACCGUUUAAGUUGUUUUUCAAGAAUAAUUUAAUUUUCUGAUUAUUAUCUCAUAAAUCUAUUUGAAUGGUUGUAUGUGGUUAAUGAGUGGUAGGGAAAAACAAGAAAUCUCAUAUUUAAUAAUCAACUCUUACACAUACCACCACAGUUGGAACAUAAAACCGUGGUGAAAUGUUAUUUUUUAUGCGUUUUAAUUUGUUUGCAGCUUGGUAUCGAACUCGUGAUUUUAUAUUUAUGAAACGGUUGUUUAAGUUAACUGUUGUGAUAGAUAACGUGUUACAUAAUUUAUUACAACGGUUGCACGCUCGUGAUUGAAAACAUCGAGCUCACACCCACAUCCUACUUCACCAUAGUUGGUCAGGCGUGAUGAUAUUUCUUUUUCAACAAUGAUGGAUUUUUCCAUAAUAGUGAGUGUUGUGAUGAAAAAAAAAAUGAAUAUACUAACAUAAUUAUUAUGUUUGUUUAAUACGGUAAUGUGUGUGAGCAUUAAUGUCUUUGUAUGACUAUUUGUCCAUCUUCCCAAUUUUUUUGUUAUUAUUUUUAAAUUUUUAUAUAGUUUUAUCAUGCUUAGUUAGUAUGUAUCUACUGUGUUGGUUUUUAAGUAUGUUCUUUAAACAAACGCGUGUCCAAUACGAUAAAACACACAAAAACAUAUCUCGUACAUAGACACGAGUUUGUUCAAAAUGAUCUUCGUUUUUCUUAUAAUAAUAUUUUUUUAAAUAAUAACUAUAGAAAUAUAUGUUGUUAAUAUUUAAAUUUUUUUCAAAAUUCCAUAUUUAUUUCAAGUUUGUUACCUAGUUAUGAAAAUUAUAACUAAAAUGGAUAGUUGUGAGUUAAAGAUAAUAAAAAUUAAUAAUUUUUUUCCUAUUAUGAAAAUAAAUAUUUAUCGACAAUAUUUUUAAAAGUGUACAAAUGCGCGUAUUAUUACUAUUUCAUCUUCUAUAUGCGGGAAAGAUAUACUACUAAUUGUUCCAUAAUUAAUUUUAUCCAAAUAGUCAUUGGAACAAAUUUAGAUAUCUAUUAAUUAAAACACAAUUUUCAUACUCAUACAAUUUUCAUAUCCAUACAAUCUUUAUUAAUGCAUACUUUAACUAUACAUCCCUCGUAGAUAUAAAUUAUGGAGUGAUUCAAUAAAAUUUUAAUAAAUUUUGCUUGCUCAUAUGGUGGAUGAAAUACAAUUCUGUAAAGCUCUUAGAUCUCUCCGAAACUUUAUUUAUUUAUUCAUUCAUUUUACAUAGUUUAGUUUUUAAAUUCAAAAUUUACAAACUCAAACUUAAAAACGUUGAGACUAUUGAAUGACAUUUGAUGUCGCACUAAUCCCUGUGGAGACGAUAAAAUAGAAUACUUACUUUUCCUUGUUGCUUUACCGGAUCAACAACAACCAUGGAGAUAGGUUAUAAAUUAUGAGAAGAGCAUGCCAUGGCGUAUGGUUAGUACUACCAAAAGGCAUCAUUCCAUCGGUGACAAGUCCAAGCCUAAGGUUCUUCGGUUCUAGUGCAAAAUUUGGAAAUAAGGAAUCGAUUUUAUUCCAUUGCAAUGAAUCAGCUACAUGGCGAAUGUUUCCAUCACACACUCUUUCAUCUGCAUGCCAUCUAGUAUUCUUUGCAUCAUUUGAAUUAACAAACAAUCUCUUGAACAUUUGAAUUACCAGUAGGUACCACAUCACCUUGGAAGAAACACCAUUUCUAGUUACACUAUCAUCGUCUUCAACACCAUCAACCUUCUUCUUUAGCGUGACUCCCCACAUCUUGGACACUCCUUCAAGUUUUCAUAUUCUUUCCUAUAUAAUAUGCAAUCAUUACGACAUGCAUGUAUUUUGACAUAAUCCAAACUCAUUGGACACAAUAUAUUUUUGGCCUCAUAACUACAGUUCGACAACGUGUUACCUUCUGGAAGCAUUUCUUGCAACAAUUAUAGCAAAUCAGUGAUACUUUUAUCCGUCCAUCCAUCUCUUGCCUUAAGAUUAAUAGUCUUAACACAACCGACAAUCUCGUAAAACUUUUGCAUCCCGGAUACAACGACUCUUCCAUAUCUUUUUGCAAAGUAUCUACCACAUUAGCAUUCUUGAAAACAUUUACCCUAAUAUCAUUCAUAGAUUCAGCAUCAUAUUCAACGGUAAGUGACAUAGGUCUUUUUUUUGUCACUUCACCAUGCCAUACCCAUUUUAUGUAAUUUUGAAAAAAAUUCCAUCAUAACCUAAAUGAUUGAAUAUUUCAUCCCUUGGAUAUUUGCGCAUAUUUCGGAAAAUUUUACAAGGCACCAAAAAAUCCACUUCUCCUUAGGAAGAUUUUUUUCCUCGUAAAAUCAAGAAAUUGAAUCACUCAAUUCUCACACUCUUUAUUUAAUCUAUUGACUUUCAUCCAACUACGAUCCAUAAUCACAUACAACUUCUGAAAAUAAAAUAAAACAGUACACAUAUAAAUCUCAAAAACAUUAUAGUAAACAAUAUAAAUCUCAAAAACCAUAAUAAUAACAACAACAAACACAUAUGACAACAACAUCAAUGGACAGAACAACAACAACAACAACGAUGACCUACGACUACAACAUCAACGACAAAAAUAAUAACAACAGUAAUGAAGAAUUUGUACAUGCUAGAAAUGUGAUGAGAGACUCAACGAAGAAGAAUUCGAGCUUGCUUCCUCCUCGGAGAAGAAGGGUGGUGGUUAUGAGUAUUGAGAAACUCCUUCGUUUGUCGGAGAAGAAUGAGUUCCUUUCGAUCGCUAGGGCAUAAAAAGUGAAUGAGACAAAAUAUUAUAAUUCUGAAGGAAUAACAAUUGUUUUUAGCGUUUUUAUCUCGGUUUUCUUCAACAACCGAGAGAUAAUAUCCGACGUAAAAUAUAUAAAAAAUAAAUGCGCCUUUUUAAUUGUAAAUAAAACAUAAAAUUGCAGGAAUUAGGAACCGAGGGAACAACAUUUUACGUCAAUUUUCCUAGAAAACCGAGGUAACAAAUAAAGUUUCUUAAAAUAAAAAUAAUAUUUAGCGCAUUCCAGGUUAUUUGACUUCAAUUUUUCAAUAACUGAGGUGAAAGUUUCAUAAUGAAAUAUAGUAUUUGUAGUGCAUACUCGAUCCCCUAUGGUGCUUCAAAGAACAACAUUAAAUGGCUUAGUAUAAAUAUAUUGCAAAAUCACAUCUCUAUGCAAAUAAACUUCUACUUUACUCAUGUAAACAACCAUCUUCCUCACUAUACCAUGACUUAGAUUUUAAAAGCGAAGAACUUUGCCACCAAACGCUACUAAAUGUUAAGGACAUACUUAAUGCUAUAGAUAUGAGAAAAAUUUGACCCCACAAAAUGCAGAUAAUUAGGAAGGCUCAUGGACGAUUAAUUUUCAUAAUCAAUCAAUGAUCAUAAAUAAUUUAUAUGUUAUAAUCGAAUUUCAUUUUUGUAAAAUUGUUAUAAAUACGGUUAUAUCCAUAAUCAAAUUUAUAAUUAGUUUUGAUUUAAAUUUUUUAAAAUUAUUUUUUGCAAGAUUUUUUUACAGAAAAUUAUUUAUUUUCAAAAAGAAAUUGUUUUUUUAAAUAUGUUUUAUUUAAAAAAAAUCAUUUUUUAUACUUUUAAAAAAAAAUCAAUUUUAUUUUAUUUAAUGAAGAUUUAAAAAAAAAAUUUAUUUUCCCAAAAUUAAAAAAAUAAAUAAUUUUUUUUUAAAAGAAAUUCUUUUAUUUUUUAAAAUAGACUAAUUUAUUUUUUAUUUUAGAUAUGGAUUUAGUUAAAAUCAUAUUAAUAACAUAUCCAAAAUGUUGAUUUGGUUAAAAUCAUUCCUAAUAACUAAUCGAUUUUUAAUAACCAAAUUCAAAUAUGUAUAUGAAUAAUUUAAAUAAGUAAUUAAUUUGAACAUCCCUACUAUGGAGUACCUCGCAGGGGUGUCUUGGCAAGAAUAUUUUGUUGAUGGGGAGCCAAGGGUCACAUUCAAACACUUAUAAAUGACAACUUAAUUAUUUUUUACUACUUUUAUAAUAAAGUAUUUUAAUUCUUUUUAGAGAUUAAUUAUUAUACACAGUGUAAAAAAUUUUAUAUUGUCGAUUCAUCACCAUCAUCCAUUUGUAUUACUUUAUAAAUUUUUAAAAUAAAAGUCAAACUUAUUUCAACAUCCAAUGCUUGAGAUUAACUGAUGAUGUAAAAUCCUUUUACACUGUCCGUGUAUUUCAAUUAAAUUCUUCUUUUUAUAAUCAACUUAAAAUUAAUGUUAAUAACUAUGCAAUAGUUAUUAUACUAUUCUAUAAACGUUAUAUUAAUCAUUCAAAUGUUCAAAACUAUACACUAGUCCUUUUAUUAUUAUUAUUAUUAUUAAUAAUAAUAAUAGUAAUAAUAAUAAUAAUAAAAAUAAUAAAUGUUGUUACUACUUUAAAAAACAAUACAUGAUAACAGUGUAUAUGAUCAAUGAGUUAUAGAUAAGAGAGUAAAUGAUUGUUAUUUGUUAUAAUGACAUAUUGUUAAACUUAUGUCAUAUAACAACAAUAAUAAUAACGAUUAACUUAAUUUAUUUAUCACACCAUAUGUGCAGUGCACGUUUAUACAACCGAUAUGCCAAGAUAAUUACUCCAUCUUAGGACCCAAAAAAUGAUAACUAAUAAAUUGAUUAAUCAGUUUCCUUUUCAUUCUAUCAUCAAAAUGACUCCAACAAUUCUACCCCUGGCUACAUUAUUUUUAGCCUUCUCCACGCCUUAUCUAUGGGUACCUUUUUCUACUCUAACUUUGAUUUCUACUUAAAUUGCUAUUUUGAACUUACUGCAACUUUGUUGACAGAUAGCUGAAUCAGAAGAAACAUAUCAACUUCCUCAACUCAACCUUAAUUCUCACAUCCUUCAGGUGUAAUUAAAUCUCUUUGUUUCAAUUUCAAUAUACGGUUCAUCUCAUGUUGCUAAAGUUAUUAGUCAUCAUGCAGGAGUCUAUUGCUAACCAGAUUAGCAACAAUCCAGGGGCAGGUUGGGAGGCUGCUAUUAAUCCUCGUUUCUUCAAUUUUACGGUUACACUUCAACUUCCCUCAGAUAUAAUACUCUUUAAUUAAUUGAUGUUUAAGUUUUUACUUAUUAAUUACCCUUCAAACUGCAUUUCAUUUGCACAUUGUGUAUCUGGUUUCACGGAGCACUCAUAAUUGAUUCUGGAUGUGUAGAAUUGAUUCUGAUAUAUUUGGUUGCUCUCGAAUAGUAUACUGAUUUUGAUUUCUAGAAUUGAUUCUACUUGAAGUUAUAAUUUGUAGUUUUUGAGUUUAAAUAUAUGAAACUUACUGAUCAACUCACUUUUAAUCUGAAUCAAUUUUACAUCAUUGCAUGAUACGAAUUGAGUGUUGAGUAUGCAAGGCUUUGUGUUUGAUGUAUAUAGGUUGGACAAUUUAAGCGCCUUCUUGGAGUCAAACAAACACCUAGGAAUGAAUUGAGUAGUAUACCCAUUGUAACUCAUCCAAAAUCAUUAAACUUGCCAAAGGAAUUUGAUGCAAGGACAGCUUGGUCCCAAUGUAGCACCAUUGGAAGAAUUCUAGGUCAUUUACUAGCUCUUCUCCUUUCUUUUUUCUUAAUAUGAUUAAACAUUGCAUUUUCCAAUAGGUGCUGAUUCUUCUUUUUGGCUAUUAACAUUAACAUGGAUUGCUGAACCGAUUCCCUCACUAAAGAUCAGGGUCACUGUGGUUCUUGUUGGGCAUUUGGUGCCGUUGAAUCUUUAUCAGAUCGUUUUUGCAUUCAUUUUGACAUGGUAAGUAAACUUCUUGCAGAAGCAAUUAGGAUUUCUUUUUCAUACUUAUUGUGUGUAAUUGUGAAUAUUCAUUUUUCUGUGUAACUUUGUAAACCUCUUUAUCUCUAUGCACACACCUACUUGAGGGUCUUGCCUCUUAAAAGAGGAACUAACUGUUGAUAUAUGCCUCGUAGUUUACUUGCGAGAGUAUUUAAACACAAGCUGUAAUCUGUAAGCCUAGGCUUCAAUUCUAGAAAGGCACUGCAACCACUCUGCAGUCAGAAACGUAGGCAAAACUGGCCGAAUUCUAUGAUCAAAUAUUGUGUUUUCUUUGUUUGCGGCUUUCGUAUCUAUUUUUUUAAGCUAAGUUGUUUGUUCUAACACAAACAUUCUAUAUGUUGAAACGAAGAAUGUAUCCCUCUCUGUUAAUGACAUUCUUGCAUGCUGUGGCCUUCUUUGUGGGGCUGGCUGUGCUGGCGGUACUCCCUUUUCUGCAUGGAUAUACUUAGCUAACCAUGGUGUUGUCACCGAAGAGGUAACCGAUUCUCUUUCCCUUCAUUGCUUAGGGACUAAAAUCCUAGGCUCUUUCUUAUGAUCGGUAUUCUUUUGUCAUAUGUGCUAGUGUGAUCCAUACUUUGAUCAAAUUGGAUGUUCUCAUCCUGGUUGUGACCCAGUAUAUCGAACUCCCAAGUGCGUUAAAAAGUGUGUAAAUGGGAACCAGCUUUGGGAGGAGUCAAAGCACUAUAGUGUCAAAGCAUAUAGGGUCAACCCCGACCCCCAUGAUAUUAUGGCCGAAGUUUAUAAGAACGGACCGGUUGAAGUUUCAUUCACUGUUUAUGAGGUAUAUUAAAGCUUUUGACAAUCUUUUUGCACUUUCUAAGGUCAACUCUAAAGACAAUGUUGUCAAUGAUUCAAUGACCUUUCAAUUCACAAAAAAUAUUUCAGACCGUUCUCCCAUCCUUUUGCAUACCUUUGAUCUCUUGACAGGAUUUUGCUCUCUACAAAUCAGGAGUUUACAAACACAUGAUAGGUUCUGCACUAGGCGGUCAUGCAGCAAAGCUGAUUGGGUGGGGAACAAGUGACGAAGGGGAGGACUAUUGGGUAUGUUGACAAUAUAUAAACUUGUUCCUGAAUUUAGACAACAACAUUUUCAAAUACACGCUUUUAUUCAGAAUUCGAUGCAUACUGAUAGUGUAUUUUUCACUGCUCAGCUUCUUGCAAAUCAGUGGAAUACAAAUUGGGGAGAUGUAUGUUUCUUGAAUUACUUUUGAGCUUGAAUAGUUGCUACUUAAGACAUGUAUUUGCUAACGAGUUAAUUUAAUCUACUAAAUUGUAGGACGGUUACUUCAAGA